GAUGAACGCUGGCGGCGUGCCUAAUACAUGCAAGUCGAGCGAACAGACGAGGAGCUUGCUCCUCUGACGUUAGCGGCGGACGGGUGAGUAACACGUGGAUAACCUACCUAUAAGACGGGGAUAACUUCGGGAAACCGGAGCUAAUACCGGAUAAUAUAUUGAACCGCAUGGUUCAAUAGUGAAAUACGGUUUUUCUGUCACUUAUAGCUGGAUCCGCGCCGCAUUAGCUAGUUGGUAAGGUAACAGCUUACCAAGGCAACGAUGCGUAGCCGACCUGAGAGGGUGAUCGGCCACACUGGAACUGAGACACGGUCCAGCCUCCUACGGCAGGCAGACGUAGGGAAUCUCCCGAGAUGGGCGCAAGCCUAGCGGAGAGACGCGGCGUGAGAGGUAGCGGUCUUCCGAUCGUAAACCUCUGUUAUUAGGGAAAAACACAUGUGUAAGUAGCACCCCACGUAAUGACGGUACCUGAUAAGAAAGCCACGGCAAACUACGUG
rnacentral:rRNA from 1 species